GACGAACGCUGGCGGCGUGCUUAACACAUGCAAGUCGAGCGGUAAGGCCCUUUCGGGGGUACACGAGCGGCGAACGGGUGAGUAACACGUGGGUGACCUGCCCUCAGCUCUGGGAUAAGCCCGGGAAACUGGGUCUAAUACCGGAUAUGACUCCGCGGCGCAUGUUGUGGGGUGGAAAGCCUUGUGCGGCUGGAGAUGGGCCCGCGGCCUAUCAGCUUGUUGGUGGGGUGAUGGCCUACCAAGGCGACGACGGGUAGCCGGCCUGAGAGGGCGACCGGCCACACUGGGACUGAGACACGGCCCAGACUCCUACGGGAGGCAGCAGUGGGGAAUCUUGCGCAAUGGGCGAAAGCCUGACGCAGCGACGCCGCGUGAGGGAUGACGGCCU
rnacentral:rRNA from 1 species